rnacentral:rRNA from 1 species
GACGAACGCUGGCGGCGUGCUUAACACAUGCAAGUCGAACGGAAAGGCCUGCUUUCCCUUGUGGAUUGCGGGUACUCGAGUGGCGAACGGGUGAGUAACACGUGAGUGAUCUGCCCCCAACUUGGGUAUAAGCCUGGGAAACUGGGUCUAAUUCCCGAUAGGACUGCAGGGUGGUGCCUGUGGUGGAAAACGAUUUUCUAGUGGUUGGGGAUGAGCUCGCGGCCUAUCAGCUUGUUGGUGGGGUAAUGGCCUACCAAGGCGGCGACGGGUAGCCGGCCUGAGGGGGUGGACGGCCCCAUUGGGUCUGAGAUACGGCCCAGACUCCUACGGGAGGCAGCAGUGGGGAAUAUUGCACAAUGGGCGGAAGCCUGAUGCAGCGACGCCGCGUGGGGGAUGACGGCCUUCGGGUUGUAAACUCCUUUCGACCGCGAGGAAGCCACCUGGUUGGAAGGGUGGUGACGGUAGUGGUAGAAGAAGCACCGGCUAACUACGUG